AGGUCCUGACCUGACUAAGCAGUGGGACUGUACUAGUCAAGGUGGCUUGGAUCAUGAGAGACGGUUCGGAAGUCAUCAUGUAGAUGAUCAUGUAACCAGCCACAGCAACCGUCUUCCACUCCAUCAGCUCAGUCCAUAAAAAUCCUGACAUGGGUUCUCUUUCGGGGUGAAGGCUGGAGGGCUCAUCCAGAGGCCCAUACAAGGAACCCUCUUCACUUCUCAAUGACCUUGACAGCACCGUACUGCAAUCCUGUCACCACAUGGAAAAUCUGAAAACCAACUUUUAAAAUCAAAAGCUUUUGGACACUGUACCUGAAUUCCUGGUUUGCCCUGACCUGGUGCUUAGUUUCUCCCUGGGCCCUCCAACUGCCCUGCUCCAGCUGACCUUCCUCCUUGGUGGUGACAAGGAUAAUAUAAUGGAGAAGUUCAGUACCUUUAGAAAUACUAUAGAACCCCCCUUUACCCCUCACCACCCAGAACUGGAAAUGACAGAAACUUCAGGCAGAAGAGGCCAGUGAGUGAAAAAGAUAUCAUGCUGUUGACCUACUUGGCCUCUGAUCAGUUGUAUUCCAGACAACUGUGUGUGUAAGUGUGUGUACACAUGUGUGUUUGUGCAUUCAGAGUGAGUGGUAAGGGGCAAUCGGCAAGACAAAAAAUAAGGCAAUUUUGCUGAGUCAUUAUUUCCACAUCACCUUCUCUUUCAUUUUCCAGUAAACUCCCACUAAAGCAGACACACAGAGAUUUGGAACAUGGUGAGUUGCUUGCAUCACAGCCACAUGGGGCCUCUUCCUUCAAAGAAUGCAUGGAAACCAUUUAUCAGAGGAGUCAAGUCCAAAUGCACUCACAUUUUUACCUUUGUCAAGUGCAGCUUUUCAUGACUACAGGGGUCUGUGAGAAUGUUGUUUGAAAAUAAAUGUAGAGGUUUGGUGAAGCUGCCAGAAUCCAGACCUUCACCUUUUAAAUCGCAUUAGUAAUGAUGGUAUAUGUGGUCACUGGACAAAAUUGACUUGAAAUAUCAUCAGCAAAGAAAAAUAAGUCAAGAUAUGUUUCCUUCUGGUGUCUUGCUCUGAAAGCAGGUUUAAAAGGCCCAGAAAUGAGAGGGGUUCAGAUCUGGGUUGUAUUUGUAACAGCAGUGAAUGAACAACAGCAAAAAUCCAUUCCUGAGCCACAGAGCUUGAAGGGCUUGAGAGGUCAAAUCACAUAAAUAACAGAAGUU